rnacentral:rRNA from 1 species
CACGUAGGGCGCGAGCGUUGUCCGGAAUUAUUGGGCGUAAAGAGCGUGUAGGCGGCCUGACCAGUCCGCUGUGAAAGUCCAGGGCUCAACCCUGGAAUGCCGGUGGAUACUGUCGGGCUAGAGUCCGGAAGGGGCGAGUGGAAUUCCUGGUGUAGCGGUGAAAUGCGCAGAUAUCAGGAGGAACACCGGUGGUGUAGACGGCUUUCUGGACCGUAACUGACGCUGAGACACGAAAGCGUGGGUAGCAAACAGG